rnacentral:rRNA from 1 species
AAAGUUAUCACUUAACUUAUAUUUCUCGAUUUAAGGCAACCCCUGCCCGGUGAGUGUUCGUUCGGCUUUAACGGCCGCAGUACCUUGACUGUGCUAAGGUAGCGUAAUCAGUUGGCCUUUAAAUGGGGUCUAGAAUGAAGGGGGCUUUGGGAAUCAGCUGUCUCACAAUUUUGAUUUAUUCAAACUUACUCAAAGGGUGAAAAUGCCCUUAAGUUAGAAAAAAGACGAGAAGACCCUAAGAGCUUUAUGCUAAGUAAUAACCUCAACUUAUUUGUGUCAAUAUUUUGAGAUUCAUAAUUGAAUUGUGAAUUUAGUUUAAGUUUGAGAAAUUCCAAGAGUGAGAGAAUUUUCUUUACUUAAGAAUUUUCAGGAAAUCUUUGCGACAAAUAAGUCAGUUAAAUAUGCUUUUGUUGGGGCGACAAAGGAGCAUUAAAAAAAAUUAAUCUAGGAAUUACUCUCGAAACUUAGGUUAAUUUUGACUAAACCUCCUCGUGAACUAUUUCUCAUAUGCCGAAAGUUUGUAGGUACAAAAAUAGUUACCUUAGGGAUAACAGCAUUAUUUCUUCUGAAGAUUGUGACCUCGAUGUUGGACUAGGGAGCUGACGGCUAGCAGCCAAACAGUACUGUUCUGU